AAAAGUCGUAACAAGGUCUCCGUUGGUGAACCAGCGGAGGGAUCAUUACAGAGUUGCAAAACUCCCAAACCCAUGUGAACAUACCUCUGUUGCCUCGGUGGUGCCUGCUUGGUUACUAUCUCGAAGUUACCCUGUAGCCCACCGGUGGACAUCUAAACUCUGAUUUAACUUGAAUCUCUGAGUAACUUAUAUAAUAAGUCAAAACUUUCAACAACGGAUCUCUUGGUUCUG
rnacentral:misc_RNA from 1 species